rnacentral:lncRNA from 1 species
UUUUUUUUGUUUUUGUUUUUUUUGUUUUUUUUUUUUUUUCUUUUUUUUUUUUUCUUUUUCUUUUGAAAUUAGUUUUAUGUAGUUUACAUUGCUGUCACCUCUGCAUAGCUGUUAACAGGCCUGACUGAAGCAGUUUAUAAGAUUCCUAUAUCUUAUAUAGGCUAGAAUGCUCUCUACUUUUAGUAAAGAAUGAUUUCUUUACUGAUUGGAUUUGGAGGGCAGAGCAGUGUGAAGAGAAUUGCUCUUCAGUCUUUAAAAAUACUUUUCUGUCUGGGACACCUGGGUGGCUUAGUUGGUUAAGCAUCCAACUCUUAGUUUUGGCUCAGAUCCUGACCCCAUGGUUCUGGAGAUGGAGCCCUGUGUCAGGCUCUGUGCUCAGCAGAAAGUCUGCUUAAGAUUCUCUCCCUCUGCCCCUUAACCCACUAACACUCUUUCUAAUAAAUAAAUGAAUCAAUAUAUUCUUCUGUCUUGCAGGAUCCUAAAUUUUGCUCUCCUGCUCUUUUCCCCUUUUAACUGUUUAGUUUUCAAAGGGCAUUUUUCCCCUUCCUUUUUUACACUCUUCCCCCCAAAAGAAUUGCCUUUCCAAAAUUGCUUCUGUGGGUCGUUUACAAAGUGCUCAGUCCCUUCCUACAGGGUGCUCUGAUCUGUAAGUAAGCUUUUUUCAGAACUAAAGUAUUUAGGGAGGAAUUUCUUUUCCUGAAAGUGAUUUUAAUCAGUCUUAAGCCUGUCACUAGCUCCCUUCUUGUCCUGUGCAAUUUUAUGUAGACCAUCCUUGCUCCUCACCAUGGUUUGCACAGGGGUGUGAAUGAUGGCUUGUUAUGAUUUGGUAUUCAUUUUUCUAUUUACAGAUAAUCUGUAGUUUGAACACUCUCUGUUCUGGUUAUGUUAAAACAUGGGUCAUGUGUGAUUUUAUUUGUUCUUCAUUAUUGUUUAUUUGAGGAUAUGUGAGGAGAUUCAGAUUCAUGCCUCUGUUGUUACCCCAGUUAACUGGUUUUUAAUAUUUUUAUAAAUAUUUUGUUUUUACUGGAUGAAGAACUGUCAGGCUCUUAAUGGUUGGGACAUGCUUAUUCUAGUACUGCAAUGAUAACAUUGCUUGAGAGCACUACUGCAACUGACUAAUCUUCACUGACUCAGUAGUCUGUAUAGUAUAAAGUGAAUUAUUACAGAUACUGUACCAUGGCAUUCAAAUAAUUCAUAAACCAUGUGAUAUGUAAUCAGACUACUGUAGAAGAAAAAUUAUUAACUAAAUACAAAAUAAUACAAAAGUCUUACAUACAAAAGGAGAUAUUUUUUUAAGGUUCUCUUUCCCCUAAGAAAAUUAUUUUCCUUAGUAAUCAAGUGUAAUAAAUUAGUAGUUUAUCAUAAUAUCUGUAGGAGAGUAUUUUAUUCACAGCCCACACUACUUUUGGCUUUUCUUGAGCUUUACUUACCAGAACACAACCCAUGUGAGAAGCCUAAGGACCAUACUAUUAAAAUUAAAAUAGCAAAUGAAAUUACUAUUUCUUUAUAUCUUAAAGAAUGCUUACCUAUACAUAAUAGAAAUCAACCUGGAAUUAGCUUUAGUAAAAUAUAUUUUGGGGACACCUGGGUGGCUCAGUUCGUCAAGCAUCUGCCUUCAGCUCAGGUCAUGAUCCCAGAGUCCUGGGAUUGAGCCCCACUGGGCUCCCUGUUCAGUGGGAAGCCUACUUUUCUCUACCUCUGCCCGUUGCCCUGCUUGUGCUUUCUUUCACUCUGCACUCUCUCACAAAUAAAUAAAAUCUUUAAAAAAACAGAGAGAGAGGCAGAGACACAAGCAGAGAGAGAAGCAGGCUUCCUACCAGGAGCCCAAUAUGGGACUUGAUCCCAGAACCCUGGGAUCAGACUUGAGCCAAAGGCAGACACUCAAUCACAGAACCACCCAGGUGUCCCAAUAAAUAAAAUCUUAAAUAAAAAAAAAAAAAUAUAUAUAUAUAUACACACACAUAUAUAUACACACACAUACACAUAUUUUGCUUUAGUAAACAUUUUUUUUAAAUGCUGAGACUUAGUAUUUUUAUUCUUGGAACUAUAACAAUAUUCCUUAAGUUACUGCACUUUUAAAAUUUUAUUUUAUAUAGAGUUAGAACUAUUAAGAAUUUGGUACUAUUCAGGUUCUAUCGGUUAAAUGAUAUGUGAUUUUAGGUAAAUAACUUUGCCUCUCUCGGCUGUUGUUUUUUCAUAUGAAAUAUGUAAUUAAUUUGAUAAUACCUAUUAUAAGAGAUUGUGAAAGAUUUAAUUAGUGUUUCCAAAAUACUUUUAACUAUUUGAAUGAAAAACCUCAAUGCAAAUUACCAAUAAUUAUCAUUUGGGCUAGUGCCUGUUACUCUGCUAACCACCAUUGCCAGAGUACUCAUUUUGGUAUCUUAUGAAACUAAGCUUAUCAAAAACCUACUAUUACACUCAAUAUAAAACCAUUUUACUAAUAAGUAUAGCUGUAUCUCAUAUAUAUAUGUAUAUUAUUUAAUUCUAUCAAAUACUAUGCAUCAUAUAGUUAUUAUAAACAACCUUUUACUUCCUAACAAAAAUAUUUUAAUAGGAGCUACUACUAUUUCAUAUAAUAAAAAUGUUUAGCCCUUCCUACCAUAUUUGGUGAGGUGACUUUUAACACUGCCCUGAAUCAAUGCUUUCUUUCUUAAUAGUUCUUGGAGUUAAAAUUUGUCUAUUCAUUUUAUAAUAGUAUCCAAAAACACUAACAAUAAUUUUAAAAUUUCUAAUGAGUAUAAUGUCUUACAUAAUUAGUAUCUUUUAAACAUUUUUUAUUUAAAUUCAAUUAACCUAUGCUGUAUUAUCAGUUUCCAAGGUAGAAUUUAGUGAUUCAUCAGUUACAUACAAUACCCAGUUACCCCAUUCCCCCACCCAUCUCCCUUCCAGCAACCCUGUUUGUUCAGUUGUCAAUUAAAUAGUAUAUUAAAGAUUUCUCAGCAACAAUAUUUACUCUAUCUGUCCAAAACAUACUUAGUGAAUAUGCACUACUAAUAGAUAAUAACCACUUACUAUUUUAAGCAACUUACAAAAAAUUAAGUUCCUAAACUUCCUUGUUUGCUCAUUUGUUUAACAUUUUCCGAAUGUCCACAGUUUGCAAGGUUUAUCUCUGGUUAUCCCAGAUAUUAGAAAUAGCACGUGGUCGCAGAGCAAGGAAUAUAGAAUAUAGGAUGGAGUUAGUCUCAGUUUACUCAGACGGGACAAUGACACACAACCAAGGAACAAUCUCCAGUAUCUCUUAUUAAACUGAGCACGCCACGCCAUUCCAAUGGACUUGUUGGAUCAUGCAGAUUAAAUCAAUAUUUAAGUUGGCCCAAGCACAUCAACAAUAUUAUUAAAAAGCCAUAGUUAGGGUACCUGCAUGGCUCACUGGGUUAGGCAUCUGCCUUUGGUUUAGGUCAUGAUCCUGGAGUCAUAGAAUCAAGCCCCACACCAGGCUCCCUACUCAACAGGGAUUCUGGUUUUCCUUCUCCCUCUCCCCCUGCUCCUUUUCUCUUUCUCACUUUCUCUAUCAAAUAAAUCAAUCUUUUUUUUUUUUUUCUUUUAAAGCCAUGGUUAGAAAUAAACCCUGGAUUUUCAGAGUCUAUUCUUCAUAGAGCUUAGAAUAAAUAAAUGAAAAAGUAUAAUAUUUUGCCUUUGUGCUUUGAUUAAUCAGUCACCACAACUGCUUCUCACUUCUAUUUGAAUUAUAUCCCUACUGCUUGGUCCAGCUGUAAUACCACAUCCACAAAGUCUACAGUGGAUUUUAUUAAUCCUGUAUUGCAAUGCAUCCUAUCAAUUCAAAAUUCCUAAAACGUAUGUAUUGAUCUUAGCUAUUAUUUCAACUAUGAGGGUCAGAGUCCUGGGACUUUACUAAUAUGACAUUACAAUAUAAACUCCUCACAGGUACAAAAAGUCAAAUAUAUAAGAAUGAAUGCUUAGAAAUUGUUUAAAAAUUAAAUAUGUGAAGUAAUGAAAAUAUAACCAUCUUCAAAUUUUCUCAAGUGUGAAAUACAUAAGCUGUCAAUACUACCUUUCAUUGCUAGUAUAAAUCAGUUGUUACCCUACUAAAAUUCUUAAAGUGUUUAAAAUA